rnacentral:misc_RNA from 1 species
CCAAUAGCGUAUAUUAAAGUUGUUGCAGUUAAAAAGCUCGUAGUUGAAUUUCGGGAUCAAUAUUUCGGUCAUGCCGUUGGUAUGCACUGUUAUCAUUGAUUUCUCACCUUCUAAAGAACCGUAAUGCCGUUAAUUUGGUGUUACGGGGAAUUAGGACUGUUACCUUGAAAAAAUUAGAGUGUUUAAAGCAGGCUCACGCUUGAAUACAUUAGCAUGGAAUAAUGAAAUAGGACAUCCGAUUCUAUUUUGUUGGUUUCUAGGAUCGAUGUAAUGAUUAAUAGGGAUAGUUGGGGGCAUUAGUAUUCAAUUGUCAGAGGUGAAAUUCUUGGAUUUAUUGAAGACUAACUACUGCGAAAGCAUUUGCCAAGGAUGUUUUCAUUAAUCAAGAACGAAAGUUAGGGGAUCGAAGACGAUCAGAUACCGUCGUAGUCUUAACCAUAAACUAUGCCGACUAGGGAUCGGAUGAUGUUAAUUUUUUAAUGACUCAUUCGGCGCCUUACG